UAUCUCUCGACAGAUUCUCUUAUUUGAUUUCAUCUCCUAAUCUCUUAAUUCUUAAGAUUUCUUCACCGCUAGCCUCUUCAUUCUCUUAACGAUCUUUGCUCCCAUAUCUCUUCAGCUUCGCUACCGUCUCUGUCAAUGGUCGUUCUUUGAUUUUGGUCCAUGUUAAAGAAUCGAAGGAGUGAAGGAGAACCAGAGAAGGAAGGAGAGAGAAGAGAAGGAAGAAAAUGAGAAGGAUGAACCAGCAUGAGAGGUGGAGACAUGAAGGUGUUCCGGUGUACCGUCACAGCGUCCGUUGUCGCUCCGGCAUGACUGUUCAGAUUAUUUAAGAAGAAAGACGAGGAAGAAGAAGAGUAGGAGGAGACGUAAGAAGAGCAGUUUCUCCUGAUGUCUACUUGUUCACUGCAGCGAUUAACGCAUUUUGCAAGGGAGGGAUGGAAUGAGGAUGAGUGGGAGGUAUGAUGAGGCAUUUAUGUGUAAGGAGCUAUGGCUUUGUGAGUUGCUGAGAAGAUGCAUGCUAAUCAAUUAGGUUUAGUUUUAUAAACCAAUUUUAAUCUGUAAGUUGGUUCGACCAAAAAAUAUUUGUAAGUUGGUUUUAAUUUAUAAACCAAAUUAGUAAAUCAAUUUUAUUUUGUAUGUACUGAAUUUUAGAUUUAAUUUUAACUGUAAGUUUAAAUUUUUCAUAUAAUUAGUUUUAUUUUAGUAAUUCAAUUUAUAAAUUUGUAUUAUUAAAAUAAAAAAUGAAUCAAUAUGGAUAUGUUACAUUAUAAUUAAUUAUAUUUAUAUUUUUUAUUAAAUAUUUUGAGACAAUUGAUCCGUUACUACGGAUGACAUUUUUGUCACAUUAUAAUUAGUCACAAAUUACAACGAAUUGAGACAAUUUAAUAUGUAAAGAAUUGUAACAUUCUUGUCACAUUAUAAUAGUCACAGAUUAUAACGAUUUGAGACAAUUUAAUAUGUAAGGAAUUGUAACAGUGUUGUUACUAACAUACAACGUAACUAUGUGAGACGAGUUGUUACAAAUAUAUUAGUCACAAAUAUUGUGACAUUUUUUUUUGUUACGCUAUGCAUUUGUGACACAUGUAUUGUAACCAUUAAAAUUGUUAACAAAAACGUAACAAUAAUUAUAUUUGUUACGAAUUUUUUUCUAUUGUGACGAAAUGUUUUGUCACAAUACCUUUAUUUUCUUGUAGUGUAAUGUCUCCGAUGUCCACAUCACUUUUUAGAUUAGUGCAAUUAUAAACUCAUGAUGUUAAUUUAUAUAACAUCAUUAAGUUGAGAGAUGUUUAUAUGCAUAAUAUAUUCUUUGUAUAGUCAAAUAUGCAUUAUUUGAGAAAUUAUUUAUUUGUUUAUCAACAUAGAAACACUAUUUACAAGUUCACACAUAUAAAAAUAUAAAAUAUAAAAUAUAUUUCUAAACAAUAAUAAAUAUUUGAUAUUGUAAAUUGACAAAACACCCGCGUGCCAGCACGGUUCAAAGGCUAGUAAUAUAUUCUUUGUGUAGUCAAAUAUGCAUUAUUUUAAUCUAUAGUCUAUAUAGUCCACGUAGCCAGUAAUCAUUUUUCCUACUAUCAACCAUCAUAACGAUCAGAAACACUUAUCAAUAUCAUUUAAAUAACACAUUUACUCAUUAACCAGUAUUGUUACAAACAAACAAAAAAAAAGUCAUUAACCAGUAUGAAUCGCUUAUAUAUUAAAAGAGAAGCAUUACAACAUAUUUUUGUAGCCACGUGUCAUCACCAC